AAGGCGGUAUCUGAAAAGCCUGUAAUAGAGUAGGAG
ncrna:unclassified sequences DTF805b RNA